UCAAAGAUUCAAAGCUCAUAAAGAGAGAGGGACAGAUAACAUUUGUUACAGCCCAGCGGCAGGGAGGGCAAGAAGAGUUUCUCGGUGCGGUUCACAUCAGCCCUGACCUGCAGCGCUCCGACUAUUGUAAUCCUUGACCUUUGAGGAGCAGCUGUCAGUAACAACGAGCUUUCUUCCCCCCAAGUUUUCCUUUUUUUUUUUUUUUUUCUGAUCUGACCCAAGGACUGUGGGGACAAGCGCACUUGUUUCAAAUGUGUGAUGUGAAGUAAUCAGCAAUGGCAAAGCGCUCGCCGCCUCUGUUCUCCGGUAUUGCCUAUUCACCCAGAACCGCAAUUAACACUGGGGAGAUAUUAGUGCGGGAGGAAAUGAGACCCUUCGCUCUCUGUUGACCAGUGUCCCAGCGUAUCUGUUAAUCAGGGGUCCCUUCUUCUCCAAACAGGGAGGCAGAGACAAACCCACAGGGUAGGUCAAAGGGGUAAAGAUGAAGGCUUUAGAUUUGUGCUGACUAGUAAGUGAAAGGGACAGAUGAAUCCGUUUGGUAAUGGUCUUUUACCUCGUAUUAUUUCAUACAUGAAAGAAAACAGUUGAAUGCUUUCUUUGUGCGUACACUCAUUUAAAUAACCGCAGAUCCGGGGCUGACCAGCUCCCGGAGAAGUCAGCCGAAGAUGGUCACUUGGGUGUGAGAUCGGGCUCACAUGCUGCCUGCAAGGAGAGCUUUUAAUCAACUUGGAAACUUCCACAACUUGUCAGCCAAAGUGGACGGGCAAAUUUAUCCAUCCCCCUUGCUCUGGCAUGGUCCUGUGCCUGCCUGGGGCUGCCAGGUCUGGGGCUGCUGGAUUUGAGUUAGCCAGAGGUAUAGCUUCACAGUGUACGUUAGCUGAAGGAAGAUUUUAGUUAUUGUGGGAUUUUGUGAAUGUGCAUGUAGCCUGUAUUUCUUUAUCAGAGUGGGCUGAUGUAUUAGAAAGCAAAAUAUUUUCUGACUUAAAAGUCCCAGCAAACAAUUUGAAUGAAAAUUGGUUUUAUUUGGAUUCUGGAUGCAUCCAGUGAUGUGUUUCUUUUCAAGUCAGAUUAAUGCUAGCUCAUGGCUUGCUUGAACCAUUGCACAUACUGAGAGAUUUCAGAGUCAAAAGGGGCUGUUCCUUGCUCUGACUUCCCAUCAGCUCCUGCUUUGGGUUAUUCACAUUUCUCUUCUCUCCUGUGUUGCCUCCCCCAGCUUCUGGGGAAUCUCUUUGCAGCUGUAUUUUCACAGGAGUCUUGAGGCUCCUGUUCACAAUCAGAUCAGAUCUCGGCUUUCUCCAAGAAGAUAUUCUGAUUUUUUCAGUGAGGUCCAGGACUAAAGCCAGUGUCAAAAGAUCAGACUUUCUCACAGGGAUUUCAGCAGCCUUUGCUUCCAAAGGCCUUCCAUAAAUCUGGAGUCCCACUUUGCUGUCUGCUUUAGCCAAGCUCAGGAGCACACAGGCACUGCCUUGGAGAGAUGAGAGUAAGAAAAGCCAGAACUGGAGGCAAGUAAGGGGCUGAGAUAGAAAGUCCCAUGAAAAGCCCCCUGGUGACUCCGUGGGGUUUCCCAUAGAUCGGUCUGGGUAAAGGGAUUUUAUUCAGAGAGGUCAGGGCAGUGUUUGUCGUGCUGGUUAUUAGUUUUAUUUCCUUUUCCCACUCAUACUCUUUGUUUAUUCAUUUAUUUUAUUAUAUCCCGAGCAUCUGGAUUGGUUUGGUUUUGACAAAAUAAAUUGGGAGAUGGUAUUUGUGCAGGAGAUGAUUACUGACAAAGGAAGAGUGGAUACUGCUAGCAGGGGAGGGAGGAAGAAACUUGGGGAAAGUGAAAAGGGAAAAGAGAAGUAGUAACAAAAAGGAUGGAGCAUGAGACUAGGGGAAAUUGGUGUUUCUUCUUUAAAAGAGAUUUGCUUUUCUCUUACAAAGAGGAAAAAUGCUGGCUGACAUGACUUUAUUCUGUCUGUGUGCUUGAGCCUUGGUUGCUUCCAAGUCUGACACUUGGUUCCCAGCUAAUGUUGACCACUCUCUCUAGUGGCACUUCUGGAGGAGUUACUGAGUUAAAAAAAAAUAGUAAUAACGAUAGCUAUGAUAGUGAUCUCCUUGGAGAUAUAUCAGACCUGGUGGUUCAUCCAUUUCUCUUAGACGUGUACGUUUUUCUCUCAAUAUGCCUUUUCAGUCUUCGUGUACUUUUCUGGGAAUCCACGUUACCAGCCCAGCUUGCCUUAUUUUCACACAGCUAAUUUUUUAGCAUCUGAAGUCAAACCUACUGUAGAAGUCCUAUUCCUUUUAUAGAGCUCACAACUAUGACAAGCUUUAAGCUUGCACCGCAUGGCACCGGAUAGCUUAAUUAAUAGAGUUGGCUGAUGCAAGGUCUCAGGGGUCUCACUCCUGCUGGAUGUGCGUUACUGUAGCUGCAAUAAUUUAAAUGUAUUGGAAAUCUACAAAAGAGGAGGAGGAAGGUAUGGAGCACAGCUGUCAAAAAGUAAAUUCAGUUCAUUAAAAAAUGUGAUCUGGUCGUUUGACUGAUUUAUCAGUUGACGAGGAACAGGAGACGGCGCGAGAUGGCAGCUAACCUGAAGCAGACAGCAGGGUGAGGUUCGGCAUGGCCAGCAUUGCUGUCGGGUAAUGGAAGCGGACACUUGGCCUGUUGCAAGGCUAAAGUUGAGCAGCAGAUUAUGCCAUUGAAAAAAAUAUAGGGAGUUGACUUGGAUCUGCAGAGCUUCAGUUUUUGAAUCUGGAGCUUUUUCCCCCUGCUUUUCUGAACCAUCCAGCACUCCCUCCAGCUCCCACAACAUUUCCUGGCAUUGUCUCCCUGACUCGGGUUGGAGGAGCUUAUCUAAAGCUCUCCGCUGGGGAAUGGAAAUAGUACAUAUAGUGCAAGUUCCUUGGCUCAUCACUGACUCUGACAGCAACCACAGCAACAACAAGAAGCUGGACUUAUUUUUACAACUUGGCAGUGCAACAGCUUUGGGAAGAAAACAUUUCUGAAAUUACAUUUUCAUUAAAAUUUGAGAAAACAUUUGAGGGGGAGCACAAGGAGAUACACUUAAUGGUACAUUGAGGCCUAUUUUCAGCUAAACAGAGGCAUGCUUGGGAAUAAAAUUUGCCCUCGGACAAAUCCACGAUGCAACAAACUUGAACUGAACCUGCAAUUGAAUUUCAUAUCCACAAAAGUUAGCAAAUUAUGCCAACAAAGAGGGGAGGGUGGCCUUUGAAAUAUGAACCAGGAUGAAUCUCCGUUUCAUCUAUAACAUCUCAGUAAAUAAGUCAUCAUUUUUAGCUUCUAGUCAUGUAGAAAUCUUUUAUAGAAAUUUGUAUCUUUUAUAUCUUUCCUACAAUAAUGGGAGGUUCUGCAUUAAGGAGUGAUACCAUACUGACUCACUGGUUAGAUAUUUUGGACUGGCUAAUUAUUGAGAUGAUAAGAAUAGUUCCCACACUUGGAAUAAUAAGAAGAAAAAGGAGCAAAUUAACAUUUAUUAAGUGCAUUUGAAAAAUAAUUGUUAUUCAUCACUGCUUGCGGUUAGCAGUACAUUAAUUAUAUCUGCCUAGCUCAUUUGCUCAGUCACACCUAAUGAAGACAGCUGCUUCUGGAAACAAAAACUACGUCUAUUGAGAAGAUUAAAACUAUUGGAGGAAGUCUGAAAUUCAUUCAUUUAAUUCUGCUGCCUGAACUUAUUCUAAAAAGAGUUUGUUAAGGUAAAGGAGGAGAUUCUUCCUUUACUCCAAAUUUGCAGAGCUUGAAAUGAGAGCAGACUCUGAUACAUAGGGCUUUGGGAUUUCUUUUAUGUGGUGGAACAUCGUGGUUCUGCACAAAACCAAAGUUGGCCGGUUCCCACAUUCCUGAUGAUGACGUGCAAGAAGGAGUUUAGCACGUCGGCUGUUGAUUUGUCAAUAGCUUAAUUCUCCAUGACAACCUCCCCAGAGGAGUGAGAAAAGUCAAUAGCACAAAGUUCACAUCACCUUGGAUAGCUGAUGGGAGGCAAAACACAAUAAAGAAGAUAGAGGCCAUAAACUGUGAUAGGCAGUGAUUAACCCAUCAAACUGGAGAAAUAUAAAGAAUCAUUAAAGUGACAAAAUGCGAUGAGUCAUUUGGUGCUGAUCUAAUUAAAUAAUAUUCCAAUGUAAAUCAGUGAGUUAUAAUCUGAGAGCCAGGGGAAAAAAAGCAGUUGGUCUAACUGAUGGGUUUCUGAAAAGUCCCUGUAGUGAUGUUCUUCUGCUUGACAACAUCGUCAUCUACCUGUAGCUCAUUUCUGUGAAUUUGGUUUUGGUUAUGACGAGCUUGAUCCAAAGCCACUCAAAGGCAAUGGAAAGACCCUGACUAAUUUCAGUAUGCUCUUUGGCACAGUGUGACGAAGAUACGAUGAUCAAUUUGGCAGAAUAAAGGUUUUUUUCCAGUUUGGGAGGAAGAUUAUUUUACCCUGAGUGUGUGUUUGAGUCUGAUUAUUGUUUGAGAGCAAGCAUGUUCUUUAUUUCUGAUGGCAGUGGCAGUAGCUGUUGUAAGAACAUGGAAGUUUAGAUUUUGCUUUGCAACCAUUUGAGGCAGGAAAAAUGGUACGAAUUUUGGAUUUAUUUUACCCAGGCCCUGGGGCUGUAAAAUUCUUUUCUUUAACAGGAAAAUCAGGGAGGAUUUGUUUUUGCCAGGACGUAAUUAGUAUCAUUUUGAUUUUGUAACAUGCAAAUGGGCUGGGUUGCUUCAGGUUUAGCUUCCAUUUUAUCUGCAUGCUCCAAGUCUGAGGAUGAAAGUUCUCAGGCAUUUUCUAAUCUUUUGUUGAUUUCUAGUAAAAAUUAAUAUUUGUAAACUUAAUUCUUUGGAAUAAGUGGAAAAAAAAAAAGCAGAUGAUACAGAUUUUUUAUUUCCUGCUUCUUAUUUGACUGUUGUUACUCUUGCUCUUUUGUGUCUUCCACCACCAUUACUCCCUUUAUUUCUAUCAAUCUAGGGCUAUAUUAGCUCCUUGUGAGUUUAGCAGCUUAUGAACAGUAUGGAAUGGUAUGGAAAUUGAUUCUUCUGGUUUUAUUUCAUGCAGAGAGCCAGCACUUUGGACGUUCUGGUCUCACUGUUUGCAUGGAGGCCAGGUAUUGUUAGGUAGCCAUGAAAUGGGGUCAAGAAGACUGAUGACCAGCUCUUAAGGAUGUUUUUAAAAAUGUCCUGCUUUAACGCAGCUGGCCAUAUUGUUCCCAGUGUGUGGUAUAGUUUCACAUGAGUUCAUGUCACUAUGUUGUUCUCACCAAUUUAUUAUUCAUCUGCCAUGGCUAAAAUAUUUAUAGGCUGUAAGGUCUGUUUCUUCCCAAGCACCUGUAGUGCUUAUGCACAAGAGUAACUUGGGCAUCUGUCACAGCAGGCGUAUUUGGUGGUUUUGGCUGCUGUUCCACCAUCAGUGACCCCAAAGGCUCCCUAAAUGACCUAAUUAUGAAAUGAUGCUGACCAGUAGCACAUUUACAUCACUCCGGGAGCGGCAUUAUUUUUAGUGUAACUCUUUCACUUACUGUCCUUCUGAUCAAUUAAGCACGCCAGCGUCUGCCGUAAUGCAUGUCAGGUCCCCAUCAAAUAAACCCCUCUUAGCCAUUAGUAAUUAUUGGCCACGGCCUUCAUCAGAAAGAGUGAGCUGAAAGUAAAUGUUCGGCUGGUAUUAUUUGACUAAUGUACCACUUCAGUCUGACCUCUUCUUCACUGCGCAGUAUGGGCUGAUAAGGAGUCUUUCAGAGACUUUGCUCCCUUCUGGUGAAACAUAAUCUCUUUCAUUAAAGUCUGAGUUAUUUAAUCACAUCCUUUUCAAUGAGGCCAGCUUUUCCUGCAGUCCCAGAAAGGACUGCCAUUGUUAGGUGCUGCUUCAAUCCUUCCAAACCCUCGCUUUCUUUCUUCUUGGUUCAGUUUCCAUAGAAAGCCCUUACAGUUGUGGUUUUGCUAUUUUCAAGCUAGUUUGUCAUUCAGUAAAGCUUCCCCUCGUGUCUCUUUCCGUGCAUCUCUCGGCUAUUGUCACCCUUGCUCUGCCUUACUGAUGAUGCUGAAUUUCAGGGCUGAUGAGACGGGUGGUGUUUGGCGGACAGUUCAGGGAAAUCGCACAAAGUUGUGUUGUUCCACAGACGAAUAUGGCUCAAGAUCUUUCUUCAUGGACAUGAGGGCUCUCACUGCGCUUCUCUCUGUGUGUAAUAAUUUUUAUUUUAGAGUUAAAAUUGUAAGUAUUUGCCAGGAGAUUAUGCUUCUGUUUUUAUAUUGCCUGUAAUGGAAUGUGUUUGCGAUUAAAAAAACUGAGAGCAUUCAGACAGCUGCAAGUGGCCUCAAGCUUUACCUCCUAUUACCCAUAUUUAAAAUUUCAAAAUUGCUCUUUCUCUUCAAUGUGAUCCCUUUCCACUGAAAGCAUCUCACUUUCAGCUGUAAAUUUCUCCCCCCUGCCCAGUUUUCUGGGAUUUUCCUCUAGGUAUGGUGGCCUUCUACUCAUCAGAGAGACUGGAAAACACAUUGUGAUUGUUUUUGGGAUUGGGACCGUCUGGCAAUACCUGCUUGUCUCUCCAUCCCUGGUGCUGUUUCCUGGUAGAGAGGUUUUCUGUAUAUCCAGUUGUGUGUUAGAAAUAAAAGCCUGUUUCACCCAACACCGUGGGGCUAAAUAGGUUACAAGUGAGCACUCUGACUUUGGAAUAUGUCCUCUGAGCAUGACUGGGUGGUUACCACAGAGCUGACCUGGCUGGUUACCAUCCAGAUCAAAUGCAGUCUUCUUUGGUUAGGGGUACUGUGUAGCAAGUAGGUAAUUCAGAGGUAAGGUCUUCUAAAACCCACUUCCCAAAGCAUACAAACUCAGUUGUCUGGAAAUUAGCUGAACUCCAGUUGAUGUCACUGUUUGAUAUCAGGAGGCAGAUUUUACUGCUUAUGACUUUACCUCCACUGGCCGUUAUUCCUACAGACAACUCCACAGACCUCCCUCACUACCUUCUACCCUGUAGAUUAGACACAUAAAAAGAGUUUGACCUCUUUGUUGAGUCUCCCUUUCUGGAGAACUCUGCCGGUAGGUGCUUAUUUGGAGAUGUCUCCAGCCUCCAACACACGGGGAAAGGACAGACCGGGCUGUACGCACAGGCUCCGGCCCACACAAGUGUUUAGGUCUCAUCUUAGCCAAACUUUUCAAUACUGGCUGAACGUUAAAUUGACAGCAGUAGGCCCAUUUCACAUGCAUCAAAUCAGACGUGCUUUGAGAGCUGUGCUAAAUGGAGACCUGAAAAAUGUGAGACUUUGCUUAGUGAAUGGCGGUGUGUGCAGCGCACCUCUGCCUCUGGUGCCAGGCAAGUCAUGCUGGAAAACAGCUCAACAAAUGAAGGCCUCUUUGGGAGCUUACUAGUGAUUCCCUGCUGAAAAUGGCAAUAGCCAACAUCCAAACUCUUCAUUCAGUGAUAGGACUACAGGUUUGUCAGAGACCUGAAAGGGGUAACAAUUUGGAGCAGGCGCUCCAUGUAGCAGGGCUGCCCGUGCUGUUGUGGUAUCUAGUUCUAAGCCAGGCGAUUUUCUUCCCUGUAGCAGAGAGGAGUUGAGAAUCAGAGAGUGAUUUAGGGCUGGUGGGAGGGACAGAUGCAGGAGAGUAGCAGUUCUGGCUCUAACACUGCGCAGCCUGUUGUGUAAGAUUAAUGACUGUGGACUACUCUCUAUUUUUCUCUCUCUACAACUGUGAGCAAUCGCCUCCAAAAGCAGCCUGCUGCUGGCUAGCCAGCAAAUAGAUAAUAAGAUCCCUGUGUGUUAAAUAUGCACAGCUGCACGUCUGACAUUGCUGAUCCAUCUGCACUCCGAGAUACCACGUGCCAGCUGCCUCGCUCGGGGUGAGCGAGGAAGGGAUCCAUUAAAGACAGAAAGUCUGCGGCAUAAUCUCGGCCCUCUCCCCCUUGCCGUCACUGUGCUCCGUUGCUCUGUGCUCCUGGAGUUCCUCUCCCCUCCCCAUGCUCCUUUGGCUGGGGAGGUUUGAAAGCACCAGCCGCUUUCACUUCACCAUUUAAAAAGGUGCCUUGUGAAAUUCCACAUUGCUCCAGAUUUCAGGGAUAGAUGUUGCUUCAUGUACCCAGGACCUGUUUCAAAUUCAGCUAAUUGAGAUGAGGAAGCUGAUCCAACUCAUCGUAUGUUGCACAACAGCUGGAAUUGGCAGGACAGGGAACUGCAGCCAGAAACCGUAAGUAAUGCUCACUUGGCACAGCAUCGCCUUCGGUAGACUUAAGGAUUUGAUUUUAUAAUCCAGCAACUAGCACCAAGAACGGUGGCUAAUAUAAAAGCACCUACAGUAGCUUGAAAACCAAUAGAGCUUACUGUUUCAGGGCUCCGCUGCAGAUGGUUAUGUUUACAACCAGUGCCCCCACAAAGGAGUUUCAGUUUAAACUGACGAAGAGAAGCACUUUGCCACCACUAUAGGUGUGUGCAUGCAAAAAUGAGGUGUGGAAUAACUGAGUAAGUUAGUAGGCAUGAGAGAACUGUCAGGUAAAGUCAGGAUGGAAUUCCCAUCCCACUCCCUUUUACCAGUUUCUGCACUGUAGUAUUUCCCAGAACAGAGUAGAGAAAUGUAAAAAAAAAACAACAAAAAAACGAAUUUAAUGAUGAUUUACAAAUAUACAAUACUUACACUUUUAAGAGUUACAAAACCAGUACAUAUUACAGGAACCAAAAGCUUCAUCUAGCCUUUGGUACAUUUUGAAGUUAUUUAUUUACAAAGAAAAAUCACAGUCACUUUUCAUAGUGUCACAUGUUUACAUAUAGGCAUUUCUCAGUUGAAAAAUAUCUUGCAGCUUACCCACAGGCACUUUUUGCAGUUUAAGCUCUGCACCCAUCUAUCACAUCGAGAAUUCUAUCAGCCCCUGUUAAGCUGACAUGACCUUGCAUUAUUAUGUUUUAACAGCCUUUAGUUUGAAAAAUAUGUAUAACCCGUAACACUAAACUGAUUCACAGUUGCUGACAUUUCACCUGGUAUAUUUUGUAUUGCUUACAGUUUGGUAAAAUGACAUGGGAUUCCUUUUUUUAAAAAAAAAAAAAAAAUGCUUGGUAAUACUUGGUUAGAAAAAGGUGGUCUAAUUUUGGUAGUUAUGAUAUUUCCAACUCUUUGUGGAGGAAAUGAAAAACAAAAAUGUCCUUUCCAGGAUGUUAUUUCACCUUAUGAAACUUGCAUAUUAAAUUAUUCCUUCAUCAUGUACAAUUCUUACCUUAAGAAUUAAGGUAACAGACACAAACUGAGCAAGGUUUCUAAAACCUAUUAAUUUCCAAUAGUUUCCCCAAUGACACAUGUUUUCUGUACUUCCUUUAAAGCAAAACUUUAGAACUUUCACCUACCUGAAAGCAAACAUUGUUUAGUCCAUGUGUGCUCAAGUGUCUUCCUUUAGAUUAAGAUACUCCUAAUAAGAGAAAUACAGCCAAAAUACAUACAGUCUGUUUUUGAAGCCUUCUACUUAUUUGGGUCUGCAAAUGCUUGCACGUGCUCAUGAUUUUUACAGUAUACAACUUCAACGCAUAACAGAACAUGAACUCAGUACAAUCUUGAACUUCAUUAUGUUGAAGAUAUUUGGGACUAGAAUUUUACCACUGGUACUUUUUAGAUAAGACUAAAUACCACCAGAAUAUUAAUUGUGGUUCAGGAUCAAGAUUUUUUUUUUUUUUUAUAUCAGGAAA